GACGAACGCUGGCGGCGUGCUUAACACAUGCAAGUCGAACGAAGAGCGAUGGAAGCUUGCUUCUCUCAAUCUUAGUGGCGAACGGGUGAGUAACGCGUAAUCAACCUGCCUUUCAGAGGGGGACAACAGUUGGAAACGACUGCUAAUACCGCAUACGAUCCGACCUCGGCAUCGAGGAUGGUUGAAAUGUGGCCUCUAUUUAUAAGCUAUUACUGAAGGAGGGGAUUGCGGCUGAUUAGCUAGUUGGAGGGGUAACGGCCCACCAAAGCAAUGGUCAGUAGGCGGUCUGAGAGGAUGGACGGCCACAAUGGGACUGGGACACGGCCCAGACUCCUACGGGAGGCAGCAGUGGGGAAUCUUCCGCAAAGGACGAAAGGCUGACGGGGCAACGCCGCGUGAGUGGUGACGGCCUUCGGGUUGGAAAGCUCUGUUAAUCGGGACGGAAGGUCUUCUUGCGAAUAGUUAGAAGAAUUGACGGUACCGGAAUAGAAAGCCACGGCUAACUACGUG
rnacentral:rRNA from 1 species